AGAUUUUUUUUUUAAUUCAUUCCAGUCGCCCAUCUUGGGGUGGCGGCGGGCCUCCUCUGUGGGCCUUAUGCAGGGACCGGAGCUGAUGGACUAGGCACCGUGUGGAGCGGGGACAGCAGUGGUAGCAAGAAGAAGGAAAAUGUGGCAAGUUAUGGAUUAGCUCAUAGGGUCUGCCACCUGAUAGUGACCCAUGUCACUUUCACCCACCUUCUUUGGACUCCCAAAUCUCAUUGAGAGACCUCACUGAGAGGGCGGGGAAGUGCAGUUCCACCACGUUUCCAGCAGGGGGAGAAUGAGAACGUGGGUAUCAGCCUUUUUUUUUUUUUUUUAAUUGAAUUCACAUAAAACCUGUAAUGGUAACUAAUUGUCCAUUUCAGGGUUGAGGAAACAGCCUGGGUCGCUGCCAUCCCUGAGCACAGGAAAUGCAUCCACCUGCCAAGCUGCUGGUGACAUCUUGUGGUAGCCAAGAAGCAGCUACCUCCUCCCGGGGGAGGAACAGGUGUCCCUGCCUCCAGAGAAGUGUCUCAAGUUGGGACUAUAGCAGUAGAAAGAAUGCUGGACCAGCUCUGUGACUCUGGGACAAGUCACUGAGUCUCUGGGCCUCCAUUUCCUCACGUGCAAGAUGGUAAUGUCGGAGCUUUGCUUAUUGCAAACCACUCUGGGUCCUUUCUCUUUCAAGAGCCAGACCACGUUGGAAGCCUGUUUGUCCAUAAUAACUAAGUAAGAGUGACCAGAGCAAAACGG